rnacentral:rRNA from 1 species
UGGGGAAUUUUGGACAAUGGGCGAAAGCCUGAUCCAGCAAUGCCGCGUGUGUGAAGAAGGCCUUCGGGUUGUAAAGCACUUUUGUCCGGAAAGAAAUCCUUGGCUCUAAUACAGUCGGGGGAUGACGGUACCGGAAGAAUAAGCACCGGCUAACUACGUGCCAGCAGCCGCGGUAAUACGUAGGGUGCAAGCGUUAAUCGGAAUUACUGGGCGUAAAGCGUGCGCAGGCGGUUUGCUAAGACCGAUGUGAAAUCCCCGGGCUCAACCUGGGAACUGCAUUGGUGACUGGCAGGCUAGAGUAUGGCAGAGGGGGGUAGAAUUCCACGUGUAGCAGUGAAAUGCGUAGAGAUGUGGAGGAAUACCGAUGGCGAAGGCAGCCCCCUGGGCCAAUACUGACGCUCAUGCACGAAAGCGUGGGGAGCAAACAGGAUUAGAUACCCUGGUAGUCCACGCCCUAAACGAUGUCAACUAGUUGUUGGGGAUUCAUUUCUUAGUAACGUAGCUAACGCGUGAAGUUGACCGCCUGGGGAGUACGGUCGCAAGAUUAAAACUUAAAUGAAUUGACGGGGUCAUAGCUGUUUCCU